CAGUCCGCCCUUUGUACUGAACCCGACGCCGAGAUGUCCACCGUCUCCAUAUGUCAACACCUGCUGCUAUCCGGUGGACAAGAAAUGCUACACCUCCGGUUGCGGUGGUACAUACUAUGGUGGUUGUUGCUGGUAGAAAAAAAAACCCAGUCAACCCACAUAAAUCUUUCCUAAUCGAUUUUUGGAUGGCUGUUCGCUAGCUGUCUACAGAAUGCUGCCAGCAGCUCAACUGGGAUGUGCUGCUCCUAUGUGCCUCAACAAUGAAUGAUUAUAUAAGGAAACGGCGUACGGCCAAGCAAAUACUUCUGCGACGGGCUCUUAGCAAGGGUGUCCGUAAUGGCCGUGACACCGAAACAACCACACCGCUGGGUCCCUUGUCAAAGACUGGCAUUACGGUGCUAUCCUCGCUGGCGAAGGAUCCCAAACGGGUGAGGACCAUGCAGCGUACCUUUUCCCGAUCUAAAUCGAGUCGCGAGAGAUCGGACAGACGACCCAAAUCUCAAACUAGACCGAAAACCCUAAAGAAUGCCCAAGUGUAUCCCCUGCUGAAGACUGAUUCCCGUUCUUGGAGGAAAAUCAAAACUUCUGAGGGUCUAUAUAAGACCCACUUGAUGGAAGGUAAGUCCGGCGUUAGUCUGGGCGGUGCACCUUCCAGGGGUAGCAGUCGAUCACGAUACAGUUCCUCUGCCUAUCCAUCCACCUGGGCUCUGGAUGUCCGGAACCGUGAGGAGCAAGCCGAGGAGACGAGCAACAGCCUGGCGGAGGUUACCAACUGUACGCGUCUCAAUCGCACGCCCUACGACCAUCAGCUGAGCACGCCCCUCAAAUCCGACCAUUCCGUUCAGUGUUCCAUGAGGGCCGCUGCCAGACGACAGCGGCAGAGACGGACAAACCAGCCACGCGAGAUGUGCGUGGCUCAGACUCAGACGAUGCCCAAACUAUUUCAACCCAAGCUACUCAAGCACAAGCCACUGAAGAAGUCCGUUAAGCAUAUGUUUACGUCCAUGGUUGGGGAAAAGCUUCUUGAGCGAAGCAGGAGUCCAUCCAAGACGAGUCAGGAUAGUUUGAGGAUACGAAAAACAAGGCACAGACAUUACAGUGGCGAGGAAAUGAAACGUUCGCGCGAGUCGGCCAGAGCAAAACCCACUGCCAGGCAAAGCCAAAGCAAAACCCCAAGAAAGUGCGAUCCUACCGACUAUGGGGGGUAUACGCCAUCGGAUGUGAGUCUCGAACUAGCUACCUCCCAAAAUCACUCAAUCACUGAGCUACGGCGCGGUACUGGCGGUAGGCUUGAUGAUAGCCGUUGGAUAAUGAAAUUGCCCACUGAGAGGGACAUAGAGAAGUAUAUACACGACGCGGCUGUCGAAGACUGUAAGUCCUGUUCGGCACGAGACCGCAUGUCAUAUCCUGAGUCCUACAAUUAUGAUGAGUCUACGGGGAGAUCUUCCUCUCCUGGUAGUAGUUGCUCGAAAGACUGCAUGUGCGCCAAAGGGGGCAAGAAAAGAACCUCGUGCACGUGUGAAUCUCGUGUCACCGAAGGCAGCAGCAGAAGAACUAACCAGGCUACAAAGAAAAAUAGCCCAAGGCACACACCAAUUUCUCGUGGAUCAUCUCAGUCAAGUGCAAGCAACGAGCCAAGAAGUCCACCCAGAAAAACGAGGGACAAACGAAAACAAGAAAGUUUAUGCAGUCUAGAUAGAAAUACCGGAAAGACACAGGCCAAGAGUCGAGGAAAUCGAGGCAGUGUCCAUGCUUCUUUAAAUACUGAUAGUCAAGCAAUGUCACGAGGACCCACUGAUUACGGAAGAGCAUCUACGAAAUCUACAGAUUCCAGCCCAUGUCGAAGCAAGAGCAAUGCAAUUGAAAAAACCAGUAAGAAUCGAGACAAAGGCAACUCCGAGAGACGUGGUACCCACAGAGAAAAGCCUACGCAGUAUGGCAACAGCAGUGUGGAGGCUAUUCCCGUGAAAACUAGUGCUGAAAACCUACGCAAGAAAACAUCUCAGAUGAUUUCGCAAAAGAAUAGUGUGCAUUCCAUCAAUUCAUUUUCCAGGCAACCUCGAACGGAUGCCUGCAAAGACCCCAAAUGCAAACGAAAGUGUCGACGAUGUGCGGAUGCCUCCACUGUGACCUCAAAGCCACUGAUUACCGCUGCUGAAACUAAUAAGGCAUCAACCGAUAAUCCUAAUCGAGGCGCAACCAACAGUUGUGGCAUUUGCCCAGUGACCAAAACUUGUGAUCCCAAAUGCGUUGAGGCAUUCGCUCAAACAUCCCAGUCUAAGAUAGUGCGACCAAGCCGAAGUCCUACUUCGAAGGAUUUUCCAAACAGGUCUCCAGACUCCCCUCAAAGCGAGUUAACGACGUCUCCAGAUCCACAAAGUGUGGGCAGGUCUACCAAUCAAAGUCGUAGAGGGUCUACAACCAAGCGAACGACACAACAGCAGGGGCCAUGUGGUUGUGGCCGCCCUAAUUGUGGGUGUAAAUACUCGGAGGCAUGCACUCAAACAUCAUCUCGUAGUCCCAAAAAGUCAUCUACGAAAGUACCAAAAAAAAAUAAUUCGGGGAUAGGUGAGUGCGAUAUGAGUCGGAUUAUUGCGAUCCUACAAAAGGCUCUGGAGGGUCUGGAAAUGGAGCAGAGAGCCCGUGGGCGCGGCUCAACAAGUCAUCUAGUAGAUAGGGAUCGCUCGAGUGAAAGCUCAGAUAUCAUCGAUACCAAUGUGGACAACUGCUAUGAGAGCGCAGCCACCAAUUGGACAUAUACAGUCCAAAAUGGGGUAAGGGGAUUCGAUCCCUUUCAGUGUAAUAUGUGCUAUUACCCCGAAAGCAUGUGUGGUGGAGCCGCAAAUAUCACUGAACCAUCAAUACCUUUUAUAAACGGCGAAUCACUGCGUCCAGAGACCAAGCAAAUUCUGAAAUAUAUAGACAAAAUAAAUGGAAAAAUGGAUGCAGACAGGACACGUAACGACUCAGACCGAUCAAAAGCGAACAAAACCAGAGAAGAACAGCUUCGACCAUGGACCAGAAAUCAAACGGGUAGAGGACUAUGAGCAAUUUGUAAUAGGCCAAAGCAAAGAUGGGAGAGAAACUCUUUAUUCAAGUUCCUCUAAAAGCUCCCACACUCGUGAGAAGAACCUCUGGCUGCAAGUAUGUGCCAAUCAGACAAGAAAAAGAAUCGAACUAUAAACUAUGCCUGCAUUCCAAAGGAAGAACAGCC
rnacentral:misc_RNA from 1 species